rnacentral:ncRNA from 2 species
AACGACCACUGGGGGUGCCAAAUGCGGCUGAGAGAGGCGAUGCGCCUUAACCCCAACAACCUGAUCCGGUUCGUACCGGCGGAGGGAAGUGGCGGGAAAACGGG